rnacentral:lncRNA from 1 species
CCUGGAAUAAGUAAGGUCAUGAUUGAGUAUUGUUGUUUCAUACACAUCUAAGGUGGAAGAUUAUAUGGAACAACCACCAUCGGCCACAUGCUAUAACUUGUGCUCAUACUUCCAAAUGGGUUGAACCCGUCUGUUGCAAAGCUUAACCUUAUAUUUCUAGGCUCCUGAGCAAACUCAAGGUACAUACUGUCGAACUCCUUCCACGCAAUACUAUCAGCUGGAUGCCUCAUAAGACCAUACUCAUCAACUUGUUUAUCAAAGUGCCACC